UACGAAGGGGGCGAGCGUUGUUCGGAUUUACUGGGCGUAAAGGGCGCGCAGGCGGCUUUGUUUGUCAGGCGUGAAAGCCCCGGGCUUAACCUGGGAACUGCGUUUGAUACGGCAGGGCUAGAGUUCGGGAGAGGAGAGUGGAAUUCCCAGUGUAGAGGUGAAAUUCGUAGAUAUUGGGAAGAACACCGGUGGCGAAGGCGGCUCUCUGGACAGAUACUGACGCUGAGGCGCGAAAGCGUGGGGAGCAAACAGG
rnacentral:rRNA from 1 species